rnacentral:lncRNA from 1 species
UUUCAUUGUGUGAAUAUUGACAUCUUGAUUUGGGAUAAUGCUAGAACUUGCCUUGAUUCUUAGUCGAACCCUGUGUACAUAGCUUAGGUGCAUUAUAUGAUUUAGGCAAUUCUUUCUUUAGCCCACAAAGCCAAACUGACCAACCCUACAUCUAUCACUUGUGAACCCUUUUGAGCUUAAUAAUUCAUUUGAAUUCACAUAUAAGUUUGCCCAGAACUAAGCUAUCCCGGUCAAACUGAACUUAAGGGGCAAAAGAAGGGAAGAUAGUGUAGUGGACCUUAUGGGCAGGACUAGUACAAAAAUUGCAAAAAUAGGAGAUUUAAUCCAACCAUAGAAAAAAAAGUCCAUAAAUAAAAAGAGAGAAAAAGAAAAAGAAAAAGAAAAAAAAGAGGAAGAAUAAAGGAAAGAUUGUGCUUAGGCCCGCAAGAAUAGGCAAGGGAUCAAGAAAAUCUGGGAAGUCUGUUGCCCAGAAUGAAGUUCAGAAUGACCUUAGCCUCGUGCCCGAAAAUUCCCACCUUAUGCCUUAAGCCACAUUACAACCAAUGAAAG